rnacentral:lncRNA from 1 species
AUUUUAUUGAUGUUGCUGGUGGUAGUGGUGUUAAUAGUGUUGGAAAGAUAUAUUCAACUAGAUGUAGCACUACAGUUUUAGAAAAUGGAGAUAGAAGGCACUUGACACAUGGAAAAGAUGUCAUUUGAUAUUUUUGAGAUAUGUUUUCAUUUUUUUGGUGGAGAAACAUAACAAAAAUAAGCCUCUCAUGUUAUAAAGAGCUAUGUUGUCCACAACACCAAAAAAUUUCAAUCUUUUUUCACAUCUCACAGGAACAACUAAGAAUGUGAGUAGAGGAAUGAAUGACAUGGUUACAUGUUUAAAUUUGUACUUUAGGAAUAAUCUCUGUGAAAAAUAGAUUCAUAGAGGGAAGAAAUAGGAAGCAAAUAAUAAUGAGUUUGUUGUAAAAUUCAGAGAAAAAUGAUGAUGUCAGAAUAAGAAUAAUAGUAUAAUGGUGAUAAAGGAGGCACGGAUUUGAAAGAGAUUUGGGAAUUAGGAUUAUCAAGAGUUAGAUAUUGAUUUCAUGUCAGAGAAAAUGAGAAUAAGCGUAGUUCUCUGGAUUUAAACACAGAAACUCAAGUGCAUUAUUCAUCUUAUUAUGGUCAGUGUACAUAGGAGAAAUAAUCUGCUACAAAAUUACAUUAGUUAUGGACUCUCACAUGGAGAAUCAAUUUGCAAAUGGCAUUUAAUAUUCCAUUCUAAGAGAGAAAACAUUAUACAAAUGAACAACAUACAAGUAGAUGUGGACUUAUAUCUAUGUAUGAAAUGCCUUGGCAGAUUAUAGGUCACAUCAAAAAGAAGAGGGUCCUUGAAAUAAAUUUUGGUACUAUAGUAAGUGACAGGCAGAAGAGAAGUCUCUAAACUCAAGAAGUUAAAAGAACAACAAAUUUAACAUAAAGAAAAUAGAGGGUGAGCCAAAAUAAAAAUAUAAGCAGAAAUCUAAAAAUUAAAAGCAAAUGUCAAAUUUAUUUUCUCUUAUUUUCAUAUAAUUCAGUUGAUUUAAAAGUUCAUUUCUCAUAGUGUACAUUAAAAUUUUGAAUAAUUUUUAAAAAUUUACAAAUCUUCAAGAAAAUAAUAAAAUUUUACAUAUCAAAAAUGACAGUAAGGAAGAAAAACCAAAAUAAAUGGUUCUUGUGAAGAAAUUAAAAGGAGACAUCACUACAGACCUUAAGAGAUAGUAUAAACAUUUCUUGUGUCAUUAAACUUGGCAAUGUAGGGAACAUUUAGAAAAUGUGGAAAAAAAGAAAUUAUGACACCUGAUCCAAGAAGAAAUAAAUUUUUAAUUAAAGAAUUUAAAUCUGCUAAUUUUUUAAAAACUCACCUUCUUAACAAAAAUCCCAGCCCCAGAUAGUUCCACUGGGUAAUUUUUCUAGAUAAUUAAAGAAAAAAUAGUGUCAUUCGUAGGUUUUCCAACAUAUUGAGGAAACACCAUUUCUCAAAUUGCUUUUUGAGGUUAGCAUGACCUCAAAGUCAAAACCCUACAACGUUCACACAAAAAUUAUAGGAGGAUCUGUUAAGAGCAUACAUGUAAAUUUUAAAUAAUCAUGUCAAGUCCAGCAAUAUAUAAAAAAGCAAUACUUAAUAACCAAAUUAUUCUAGAAAAGAGUAGUUAACAUUUUUUCAUUUGGGACCAUUUACCACAUUACAAAAAAAGAAAAAAAAUCCAUAAUAUCCUUGUAAAGUCCAGAAAAAGCAUUUGAUUAAGUUCAAUACUUACCUGUUUCUAUGAUUAAAAAAAAACAAAAACAAAUAGGCAACAAUCGAAGAAGGGAAUUUUGCUCAAUCUGCUUAAAACAACAAAACAGAAAAUACCUUUGAAAAAUGUACAGGAAGUGUACUUAAUGAUGAAUUAUUGAAACCUUCCUCUCUUGAGAUAGGAAACCAGACAAUAACAACCACUACAUGGCUUCUAUUCAGCAUUGUUCUAGAAAUUCUAACUGGUGCAAUAGAUCAAGAAAGAAAAAAAAAUAAUACAUAGGACAGGAAGAAAGACAUUUAAAUGUCAUUGAAUAAGGUAUGGUUAUUGACCGAAAAUUCUAAAGAGAUCAAACUAUUGGAAUUAGUUGAUUUAUCAAUGGCACUGAUUAUAAGCUUGAUACUCAAAAAUUGGAACGAAAAAAUCCAUUUUUAUAUACAAAGAAGUAGAAAAUGUAAAGUAUUACUAUUUUGUAGUAACACUGAAAAUAUCAGCUAAAUAUCCAAAAAAAUGAACAUCUGUGUAGGAAGGAUAUACCAUAUUUAUGAUGACAGAGAACACUGAAAGAUGUCAGUUCUGUAAAAAUCAAUAUUGAUAAGCGAAAAAUCUUAACCUUAUUUUUGUGAAAAUUAAGCUAUUCUAGAAUGUAUGUGGAAAUGUAAAGGCUAAGAGUAAGGCAACAUUGAAGAACAAGUGUGUGACAUUUCCAUAUUAAAAAGCUUGAGUAAGACAGGUACUAUUAGAAGUCUGAUUUUUUUUUAAGCUAAUAAUACUACUGCCCAGUAAAGGGAAUAUUUUUUCUUUUUUUUUUUCUUAGUGAGAGAGAGAGAGAGAGUUUUAUAAUAUUUAUUUUUUAGUUUUUGGCGGACACAACAUCUUUGUAUGUGGUGCUGAGGAUCGAACCCGGGCCACAUGCAUGCCAGGCGAGCGCACUACCACUUGAGCCACAUCCCCAGCCCCAGGAAUAUUUUUUUCAGUAAAUGGUGCUACAUUAAUUGGAUAUCUGUUUGGAAUAGAAAAACUUAAUUCACCACAAAUAAGAAUUACAGAUUGUAUGUUUAAUUGUAAAAAGUAAAUCAAUAAAGCUGUUUUAAAAAGAGGAAAAUAUCUUCAUAACCUUAGGAUAGGCUUAAAUUAAAUUAAAUUAAAGCACUAAGGAUCAUCAGAGGAGAAAAAAAGAUGGUGUAAAGGAGAAAACAUGGUAUAACGUUAAAAUUUUUAAGCACUUUAUCAAAAGGCAUUGUUUAAAGUGAAAAGACAACCAACAAGUAUAAGGUUUUUGUAAUAAGUCUAAUAACUCAUUCACAAUAUAGAAAUGACUACAAAUCAAAAGACCUCAGCAAAGGAAAAGUCACAGGACUUUAAUACAUUGUGUCCCAUCAUCCUACGUGGAAUUGAACAGUUGGGACUUAAUGGUUAACCCAAGACUAUUAAAGCAGUCAAUAAAAGCUUUAUUAAAGGAGAAUGUGAGAUCACAUUUAGAAAAUUUUUUGUGCUACAUUUACUAAAACUAAGCAUGUUCAUACCUUUGACUAGAAAUUUUUAAUUCCUGAAUAGUAUGCACCCAUAGUAAUGUAUAUAUUUGUUCACCCAGAUAUAUGUAAAAUAUUUAGAAGCUCCCAAAUAAAGCUCUACAAACAGAUGUGUUCUGAAAAGUGUAUCUCUCCUCUCAAUUAUACCCAUCCCUUCAGGAAAUUGAUUUAUUUCUGCUUAUACUAUUUUCAAACUAUAUAAACACUUAUAAAUUAUACCAUCCAGUGUG